CGGCGUGCUGAUACAUGCGAGUCGAGCGGACCGACGGGAGCUUGCUCCCUUAGGUCAGCGGCGGACGGGUGAGUAACACGUGGGUAACCUGCCUGUAGACUGGGAUAACUCCGGGAAACCGGGGCUAAUACCGGAUGCUUGAUUGAACCGCAUUGGUUCAAUCAUAAAAGGUGGCUUUUAGCUACCACUUACAGAUGGACCCGCGGCGCAUUAGCUAGUUGGUGAGGUAACGGCUCACCAAGGCGACGAUGCGUAGCGACCUGAGAGGGUGAUCGGCCACCCUGGGACUGAGACACGGCCCAGACUCCUACGGGAGGCAGCAGUWGGGAAUCUUCCGCAAUGGACGAAAGUYUGACGGAGCAACGCCGCGUGAGUGAUGAAGGUUUUCGGAUCGUNAAACUCUGUUGUUARGGAA
rnacentral:rRNA from 1 species